AUUAAACGCUGGCGGCAUGCCUUACACAUGCAAGUCGAACGGCAGCACGGGGGCAACCCUGGUGGCGAGUGGCGAACGGGUGAGUAAAGCAUCGGAACGUGCCCUGGAGUGGGGGGAUAACGUAGCGAAAGUUACGCUAAUACCGCAUAUUCUGUGAGCAGGAAAGCAGGGGGAUCGCAAGACCUUGCGCUCUGGGAGCGGCCGAUGUCGGAUUAGCUAGUUGGUGGGGUAAAGGCCUACCAAGGCGACGAUCCGUAGCGGGUCUGAGAGGAUGAUCCGCCACACUGGGACUGAGACACGGCCCAGACUCCUACGGGAGGCAGCAGUGGGGAAUUUUGGACAAUGGGCGAAAGCCUGAUCCAGCCAUGCCGCGUGAGUGAAGAAGGCCU
rnacentral:rRNA from 1 species